CCUACGGGUGGCUGCAGUGGGGAAUAUUGCACAAUGGGGGAAACCCUGAUGCAGCAACGCCGCGUGAGCGAUGAAGGCCUUCGGGUCGUAAAGCUCUGUCCUAAGGGAAGAAUACUGACGGUACCUUAGGAGGAAGCCCCGGCUAACUACGUGCCAGCAGCCGCGGUAAUACGUAGGGGGCUAGCGUUAUCCGGAAUUACUGGGCGUAAAGGGUGCGUAGGCGGCCCUUCAAGUCAGAGGUGAAAGGCUACGGCUCAACCGUAGUAAGCCUUUGAAACUGUAGGGCUUGAGUGCAGGAGAGGCGAGUGGAAUGCCGUGUGUAGCGGUGAGAUGCGGAGAUAUUGGGAGGAACAGCAGUUGCGAAGGAGGCUCUCUGGACUGUAACUGACGAGGCGGCACGAAAGCGUGGGGAGCGAACCGGAUUAGAUACCCUUGUAGUA
rnacentral:rRNA from 1 species